GUAGGUGAACCUGCGGAAGGAUCAUUAAAGAGAACUUGCCCUUCGGGGUAUAUCUCCCACCCUAUGUUUACAUACCUUUGUUGCUUUGGCGGGCCCGUCUCACGACCACCGGCAUUUUUGCUGGUCAGUGCCCGCCAGAGGACCCCAACUCUAAAUUUUUUGUCGUCUGAGUACUAUAUAAUAGUUAAAACUUUCAACAACGGAUCUCUUGGUUCUG
rnacentral:misc_RNA from 1 species